rnacentral:rRNA from 1 species
AAAGAGGAAUUCGGAGACAGGUGCUGGCAUGGCUGUCGUCAGCUCGUGUCGUGAGAUUGUUGGGUUAAGUCCCGCAACGAGCCGCAACCCUUGUCUUUAGUGCCAUCAUUAAGUUGGGCACUCUAAAGAGACUGCCGGUGUCAAACCGGAGGAAAGGUGGGGAUGACGUCAAGUCCUCAUGGCCUUUAUGACCAGGGCUACACACGUACUACAAUGGCAGGUACAAAGGGCAGCCACUUAGCGAUAAGGCGCGAAUCCCGUAAAACCUGUCUCAGUCCGGAUUGGAGUCUGCAACUCGACUCCAUGAAGUUGGAAUCGCUAGUAAUCGCAGAUCAGCACGCUGCGGUGAAUACGGUUCCCGGGCCUU